UUCUUAUCCAGAGAGGCUGAGGGACUGGCCCUAUGACGCCCGGCAACCUAAAUAUACCCAUUUGUAUAUUUAACGGUGCUAAUUCCAGCAGGUGAAAACCUGACAGAUGAGAA
rnacentral:ncRNA from 2 species